CCCUACGGGGCGCAGCAGGCGCGAAAACUCUACAAUGCAGGCAACUGCGAUAGGGGAACAUCGAGUGAUACUCAUCUUGGGUGUCUGUCCUCCCGUCUAAAAAACGGGAGUUAGCAAGGGCCGGGCAAGGCCGGUGCCAGCCGCCGCGGUAAUACCGGCGGCUCGAGUGGUAGCCGAUAUUAUUGAGUCUAAAGGGUCCGUAGCCGGCUUUGCAAGUCUUUUGGGAAAUCCAGCGGCUUAACCGUUGGUCGUCCGGGAGAUACUACAUUACUUGGGACUGGGAGAGGUAAGAGGUACUCAGGGGGUAGGAGUGAAAUCCUGUAAUCC
rnacentral:rRNA from 1 species